rnacentral:rRNA from 1 species
UACGUAGGGUGCAAGCGUUGUCCGGAAUUAUUGGGCGUAAAGAGCUCGUAGGCGGUCUGUCGCGUCUGCUGUGAAAAACCUAGGGCUUAACUCUGGGCGUGCAGUGGGGUACGGGGCAGGCUAGAGUGCGGUAGGGGGAGACUGGAAUUCCUGGUGUAGCGGUGAAAAUGCGCAGAUAUCAGGAGGAACACCGGUGGCGAAGGCGGGUCUCUGGGCCGUAACUGACGCUGAGGAGCGAAAGCAUGGGGAGCGAACAGG